rnacentral:rRNA from 1 species
GAUGAACGCUAGCGGCAGGCUUAAUACAUGCAAGUCGAGGGGGCAGCACGGGGGCAACCCUGGUGGCGACCGGCAAACGGGUGCGGAACACGUACGCAACCUUCCCAUAACUGGUGAAUAGCCUUCCGAAAGGGAGAUUAAUACACCGUAACAUAAUGAAGAGGCAUCUCUUUGUUAUUAUAGCUUCGGCGGUUUUGGAUGGGCGUGCGCCUGAUUAGGUAGUUGGUGUGGGUAACGGCCCACCAAGCCUGCGAUCAGUAACUGGUGUGAGAGCACGACC